GAGGUGAUGCGGAGUGACUCAGAUGCAGCCAGCGGGAUAGGUGGCUUGGCUGAACUGUCUCACUCCCACAUCCUC
rnacentral:miRNA from 1 species